rnacentral:rRNA from 1 species
GACGAACGCUGGCGGCGUGCUUAACACAUGCAAGUCGAACGGAAAGGCCCUGCUUUUGUGGGGUGCUCGAGUGGCGAACGGGUGAGUAACACGUGAGUAACCUGCCCUGGCCUUUGGGAUACCUCCAGGAAACUGGGGCUAAUCCCGGAUAGGAGCUCCUGCUGCAUGGUGGGGGUUGGAAAGUUUCGGCGGUUGGGGAUGGACUCGCGGCUUAUCAGCUUGUUGGUGGGGUAGUGGCUUACCAAGGCUUUGACGGGUAGCCGGCCUGAGAGGGUGACCGGCCACAUUGGGACUGAGAUACGGCCCAGACUCCUACGGGAGGCAGCAGUGGGGAAUAUUGCACAAUGGGCGGAAGCCUGAUGCAGCAACGCCGCGUGCGGGAUGACGGCCUUCGGGUUGUAAACCGCUUUCGCCUGUGACGAAGCGUGAGUGACGGUAAUGGGUAAAGAAGCACCGGCUAACUACGUG